rnacentral:rRNA from 1 species
AUGGGCAAGGUAGGUACCUGUAGCUCGAUGCGUCGAACCCAGCCUGAUUUCUCGAGCGAGUGUACGGCGGUGACUGGUUCAUUCCCCCACCUUUGUUCUUUCCAGGCCAGCGAUGAUGGCGCGUCAUUCCGUGCGGCGGCGACGAGAAUCCUGCGUCCGGCGGUGCUUCGUGGGGAGGAGCUUCACCGGGCCAUCUCAGCCAUUCAGAGGACCUACGCCUCGCCACAGGCCACCGAAAACGCUGAGCAUAAGCUGCACGAUGUUGUGAUUGAAAUCCCCAACCGGCUUCCGCAGAGGUGUUGUACAGAGAUAACGGAUUGGUAUACUUGCAAAAAAAAUUCAUGGAAUUAUAUUUCUUUGGCUGUGCAUGUAGGAAAUUUGCUAUAUAUUUCACUUACAACCAAUGGUAUGUACGUAGAGGAUUAG